rnacentral:rRNA from 1 species
AUUGAACGCUGGCGGCAGGCCUAACACAUGCAAGUCGAACGAGUGGCGGACGGGUGAGUAAUGUCUGGGAAACUGCCUGAUGGAGGGGGAUAACUACUGGAAACGGUAGCUAAUACCGCAUACAUUCGAAUUUGCCAAAAUGGGAUUAGCGAGUUGGUGGGGUACCGGCUCACCAAGGCGACGAUCCCUAGCUGGUCUGAGAGGAUGACCAGCCACACUGGAACUGAGACACGGUCCAGACUCCUACGGGAGGCAGCAGUGGGGAAUAUUGCACAAUGGGCGCAAGCCUGAUGCAGCCAUGCCGCGUGUAUGAAGAAGGCCUUCGGGUUGUAAAGUACUUUCAGCGGGGAGGCGUUACCCGCAGAAGUAGCACCGGCUAACUCCGUGCCAGCAGCCGCGGUAAUUC